GGCGGUAUACUUUAAAUUAAAAGGAUUGAUUUUGCAUUCAAUUAUUAAGAACUAUUUUUCUUUAGCGCCA
rnacentral:tRNA from 1 species